UGGGGAGCCAUUCACAGCCCAGCGUUUCCUUGUUGUUGCAAAAAUGUGUUGAAACCCAACCUACCUUAUCCACCAAUCACAGGAGAGCGUUUCCUCCCACUGUAUCUAGCUCAUCCACGGUUUCACAAGGAGAAGGUAAAAGAUUUACGUUUUUUUAACAUGAAAAGAGUAAACAGUCGACUGUAUUGUAGCCUUGCUACCUGCCGCCAUGUUUUUACUUGCGGGUAUUACUUAAGAACCUAUUUUAGGUUAUAUUAAACAUUUUGUUAGACCCCCAUUGCUGUUCUUUUUAUGCUGAAGCUUGUUUUCAGUUGCUAUACCAUCAGUUACAAAGUGACAUUAACGACCUGAAACGACGAGAUAAGGUUGUGAAUUAUUUAAGUGGAGAAGAUUUCCUACCAUAAUAUCAUUUCGGAAAAGUCAGUACAAGUAAGAGCUGGAGAUGGAUGAGGGAGCCAUCAUCGGAGUAGAUUAUUCCAUCUGGAACCUCCUGAAAUCCACAGCCUACAGCCAUCCUGCUCAGGAAGAGCAACGAUGAUGUUAAGGCGAAUACUGAGAGGCUCCAUUCAAAGUUCAGCCUCCCCUCUCUCUUCUUCUGUGGUGCUCUAAAGGAGCAAUUUAAAUCUGCAAGUAUUCAUCAACAGAUUUCUUGAAAUCGAAACUCGUUGACAUGCAUUAGACGUCCCGAGCCUCAUCCUCAGGCUUACAGCUUUCUUUUCCUUCUUUGCGUUUUGCAGCAGAUAUUACAGUUUUUUUAGCGUACCGAUGAUUAUCCCGAUUGGUUGCGCUUAUUGCUCAAGAAGAGGAAACAACGGGGACCCUUGAUUUUUACAGCCUGUGUCUGGUGAACAUGUUUAACGGCGAGUGUCACAGAUUUACCUCUGCGUUACUUCGCUUUGACUUUUACAGUUUACUGGGCUAUAAAAUAAAGUGUUUUGAAUCAGUAGCUUGGUUUUUGUUCGAAUUUAGUCGCUUUAGUCAGUUGACAAAUGUCCAGUGUUUUAAAUAAUUUCAUCUUGUCCAAUUGAAGCACCAAACUGUAGGGUUGCAUAGCAUGUCCCCUUUUUUUUUUUUUAUCAAUCAACAUCACUUCAGAUGUGGAUUUUUAUAUCUUUAGAAUACUAUGUCAUGAAGAGGUUUUUCCACUUGCUUUACUAUCUUGUCAUAAAAAACUCCGACGAGCUUGGAUACAAACAUGCAUCAACUGGCAUCACAGAAGGCACAGACAACUUAUCAGUUCUUUUCAUUACAUCCUUUUGCCUUUUUCUUUCACUUUUUUCUUGUUUAUCUGCAUGAUUUUUAAGUAAAUUCUUCAUUUUAAAGGGGUUUACUUGUAUGAUGUCCCCAGAGAUUACCAAUGCUUAGCUGAUCAGCUCUGUUCUUGUGCCUUUUGUGAUGUUAUCAAACCUAAUCUAAUCAUACCAGAUUUUUUGUUUUUGUUUUUGUUUUUUUUUCCGGUUCGGUACGAUUAAGAAUUGUAUUUUGUGAAAUCCUGCUGCAGUACAAGUCCAUGUUUCUUUUAUUUCCAGUUUUAUUGGCAGUGAAAACAAAUAUACACCAUUGGACGCUAUUUUGUUUUUUUAUGAAAACAACGAGAACAUGCGCAUUAGACGUUUUCUCAGGGUUUUAUUGGGAGCUUCCAGGCACAAACAGGAGAAGAUGAACAUUACGCUGCAUUUAUGUCAAGAUCGAAAUGAUGCAACUUUCAAAUGUUUCAAGCAAGCUUUUUCCCUCUCACCGUGACAUAAGUUAAUAACAUGCUGUCAAUAAAUUACAUAAACAGGGCUUGCUAUUAACUAAACUAUGCCGGAAGUCAAAAAGAAAAAAAAAACAAAAAAAAACAUAUAGGUCACAUCUACUAUAGAAAUCCUCGUCUAUUCGCUGACACAUAUUUGUUUGUUAUUUUUCUUCUUAGAAACCGGGAGCAAAAAGCAUCUCUCAUGUGAAUGGGCUAAUUAAACAGGUAGACCCUCAAGGAAUGGAGGUCACUUUAUCUGUAGACCUUGCUCCACUUAGAGGGAGUCAAUAAUCACUGCUGACACGUCCCGGAGGCCUCUCAGUGUUCUGCAUUCAUUCGUACAGGUUCAGAGAUAAGUCGUAAGGCUCCAAGGUAGGUGACGUGUCGAAGUGACACGAGGUUCAAACCGUGCAGUGUCUUUCAAUAAAGAUUUAAUUAGGUCUUUAUGUGGUAAUUGAGGUUUCCCAUCUUGUUUUCCAGUUGCGUUCUUACAGAACUGGUGAAAGUUACUGUUCCUUAAAGUGAAAUUUGGCGUUAACACCUCCUACCAUCUCUGAGCAGGUGCAAGUGGAGUAAAGGAAGGCAAAGGCAGGUACUUUCCUUGAUUUUUGGGGGGUAAAUAUUUUGUUUUAUGAUCUUUGUUCCACCUACAUUAAGGCCACUCAGUGCAACUGGAAUGGUGACAAUAGCUUAGCAUAUGUAGAGUGGAAUGUAAAAACUGGGAGGGGACUUGCGUUGUUUGGUGUUUAUUUGGAAAUUUGAUGCAGAGGUUAAUGAAAUCCUUCACAAUUGAUAGAAUUUAAAUGGUGUGAAGCUCAGAAAGUAAAUAAAAUCAAGGACCAGAUCUAGAUUUUACAUAUACGUAUACUAAGAGCUAAGAACAAGACGUUUUCUGACGGCAGGAAGCCAUCGAAAACUCUACAAAUGUUGGCUUAAAACAAAAACUGGUGAGAGAUAAAGAUAAAAACAUCACUUCUGGUCUGAUUAUGUUGAAAUAGUAGACAUGUUAUUCUGUAUGCCUUGCUGGUCUUCUUUUAUAACUUUAUAACUUUUAUAACUUUUAAUACAGCAAUAUAGACUGAAAUCUAACAUUUGAGGCAUGUAAAAUGAGAAUUUUAAUUGUAUCAUGAAAACGAGAUAUUGAAAGGGGUUUAUAAUUUUUUUUUUCAAAUUAAAAAUGGUGCUUGAAUGCCUCACAAAAGCUUUGUUUUGCCUUUUUUCAACAAUAAGCUAAAUUGUGUCAACCUGGGAAAGUAAUUUGCCAUAAAUUUGAGAAUAUGCUUAUAAUGACUUUUAUGCAAACCAAAAAGGAAAAAUAAAGAAUUAUCACAGCAUAUAAAGGCUUUCUGGAUCGAAACAAACGUGUGAUAACUGAAUAAAUACUUGCUUUCAUAUUUCUUAAGAAUAAAAUUCAAGCCCUAUUACACUUAAAACUUUUGCACAAUUUUUAAGUUUCAGAUCCUGUGAACAACUGCUUCACAUCUAUUAAAACAAAAACAAUUAAAUGCAUUCCAAAUUCUUUUAAAUUGUGCAUUUAAAAUCUCAAUAUUCACUGCCUAUUUCAUAUUUGGCAGCUUGACACCAAACAGUAUUUUUUUAAAUAUAAUUCUUUUGGGCGUGACAAUGCAAAAACUGAUCACAUUUAAGGUAUUUAUAAAAAAAAAAACAAAAAAAAAA